GCCUCGGGCGCAGACGGCUUCAGAUCUCCGUAGGCAGCUGUGUACGAAAUCAAACGAAGGACGUUACUAAGAGCUCUCGUGACACGGCUUUGAAUGGUACUUUCUUUUGGGGGCAUUACGCAAGUGAUACAGAAGAUAUGCAAAGUGCUGUAGUCGCCGUAAUAAUGUGUAGCAUUUUGGUUUGCCUAAAUGUAGUUCAGUACUCAGAGAGUGAUAUAAGACCGGACGUUCUUCCAAUUUUAACUGGAAAACGUACACCGUUUAAGAACUGCUACAGAACCGGAGCUAUAUGCAGAAGUUUCAUUGACUGCUGCGAAAAUUACUCGUGUAUUGAUUUUACAUGUUUAUACGACUACACUACGCCACAACCGGGCGUUACGACUCCGACUAUCUGGUGACUUGCCAUCCAGAAUUUUAAGCAAUAAAAUCUAAUAGA